AACGGCCUGCGUCGUUUCCUCUCCUCUGACGGCGACUAGACCAUGCAACUGCAACUCCCCCGUCCGCAUGAUUCUGUACGCAACUGGUGAACAAGUCUCUGCCGUCCGCACAAUUCUGUACCCAGAUAUGUUGUUAAUUAAUUAUGAUUCAGUGUUUAAGUUCAGACUUGGGAUACUAGCCUUAAGCAGCAGACUAGUUGGUUGCAACUUGCUCUCUCUCUCUCUCUUUAUAUAUAUAUGCACCGCAGCAUGCAGCAGAUGGAAACAACCCAGCUCCAGGCCUCCAGCUCCAGCUCCGGCUCCAACUCCAACUGGUGCUCGGAGACUUGAUGAUGCCUUCCCCUCGCGAUGUCCAUCUCCUCAGCCUGCUGGUGCUUGCCAUGGCGAUGGUGGUGACACCAGCAGCGCAGGCGCAGCCUUCCCCCGGGUACUACCCGAGCUCCAUGGUCAGGUCGAUGGCCUACUCCGAGGGCUACAACAACCUGUGGGGCCCGCAGCACCAGACUCUCUCGCAGGACCAGAAUGCGCUCACACUCUGGAUGGACCGCACCUCAGGCAGCGGGUUCAAGUCGAAGCGUUCGUACCGGAACGGCUACUUCGGCGCCUCCAUCAAGGUCCAGCCCGGCUACACCGCCGGCGUCAACACCGCCUUCUACCUGUCCAACAAUGAGCUCUACCCGGGGAACCACGACGAGAUCGACAUGGAGCUGCUGGGCACGGUCCCCGGCGAGCCCUACACGCUGCAGACGAACGUCUACGUGCGCGGCACCGGCGACGGCUCCCACCUCGUCGGGAGGGAAAUGCGAUUCCACCUCUGGUUCGACCCGGCCGCGGACUUCCACCACUACGCCAUCCUCUGGAACCCCGACGAGAUCGUCUUCCUCGUCGACGACGUGCCCGUGCGCCGGUACGAGCGGAAGGCCACGACAUUCCCCGAGCGGGAGAUGUGGGCGUACGGCUCCAUAUGGGACGCCUCCGACUGGGCCACCGACGGCGGACGGUACAGGGCCGACUACCGCUACCAGCCCUUCGUGGCUCGGUUCCAGGGGUUCAGGAUCGCUGGGUGCGAGACCGGCGCGCCCGCGAGCUGCCGCCCCGUGCCGGCCUCUCCGACGGGGGCGGGGCUGAGCGCGCAGCAGAGCGGCGCCAUGCGGUGGGCGCAGCAGAGCUCCAUGGUCUACUACUACUGCCAGGAUUACACCAAGGAUCACGCGUUAUACCCCGAGUGUUAAGCUCGAUCGUAAAUCGAUCAAGAUUACUGUUCUGCGACUCCAUUUAUGAUUGAAGCUCAGCAAUGGAGGCUACCAAAUUCUGAAGAUAUCUCCCCCCACCUCAACUUUCAGUAUACCUUCAAUCAAGGAUCGGUUGCCGGUGGGAGCAUAUAUCAGCAUGAACCGCAAACCAAGGUAGUUGCAAACAAAGCAAUUCAUUUAAAACCUUGCAAGAACAUCAAUAAGCUGAAGAUGAG